rnacentral:rRNA from 1 species
AUUGAACGCUGGCGGCAUGCCUAACACAUGCAAGUCGAACGGCAGCACAGAGGAGCUUGCUCCUUGGGUGGCGAGUGGCGGACGGGUGAGUAAGGCAUCGGGAUCUGCCCCGACGUGGGGGAUAACGUAGGGAAACUUACGCUAAUACCGCAUACGUCCUAYGGGAGAAAGCGGGGGACCUUCGGGCCUCGCGCGGCGGGAUGAACCGAUGUGCGAUUAGCUAGUUGGCGGGGUAACGGCCCACCAAGGCGACGAUCGCUAGCUGGUCUGAGAGGAUGAUCAGCCACACUGGGACUGAGACACGGCCCAGACUCCUACGGGAGGCAGCAGUGGGGAAUAUUGGACAAUGGGCGCAAGCCUGAUCCAGCAAUGCCGCGUGUGUGAAGAAGGCCUUCGGGUUGUAAAGCACUUUUAUCAGGAGCGAAAUGCCAUCGGCCAAUACCCGGUGGAGCUGACGGUACCUGAGGAAUAAGCACCGGCUAACUUCGUGCCAGCAGCCGCGGUAAU